rnacentral:lncRNA from 1 species
CAGAUUUUCCACUAAGGCUCUGAAUACACACAAAAAGAAAGCUGCUCAACAUAACCAUUUCACAUUUAUAUAGGUACUGCCUUGGUAUAUAUGAUCCAGUUUUCUGGAGAAGAUUUCAUAUUAUCUGGGAUCUUUGAUCAGAGAAGCUUGAGUAACUUGAAUAAGUCACAUUAUCUACUCAACACUUUUCCAGCCCUGCAGAAAGGGAGUAAUGUUUUUCAAUAGAUAUUUUCCUUACUGGAGCAUGUUAAGUUUACCUGAGAUGCAUAAAGCUCUGGAAAUUGAACUAUCAUCAUACUAGAUGAUAAAUUCAGUUUGACCUGAAGCUUGGCACAGUCAGAGCUUUAUCCUGGAACUAUACUAUUUGCUUCUCCAUUUUACUUAAAAUCACAAUUUGUGCUAAUUUGCAUUUACUAUCUAAGAAGAGGACAAAGAGAAAAGAGAGUUAAGGCUUUCUCUUCAGAAUCCUCCCAAGAUUCCUGGGGCUUCCAAGCUUUCUUUCAUUCUGACAGAGGAGAUGGGAAAAUGGUAUUAUGUUUGUUGGUGGAGUAAUCACCUUGCUCAAACAUUUUUAGGAUUCCCUUUCUAGAUUAACCUUUAGAGAGAUCUUGAAGGAAAAUAAAAGGUAAUGUGUCUUCUAGGUAUCAUUAGAAGCUAAUAAGUAGCAUUUGCACAAUCUCUCACAAGGUACUUUGAUACAUAUAAUUUCAUUCAUGUCUAUACUUCUUCCCACGGCAGAAGCCAGGCCUUACACUUAGGAGGGAUUAACGUGUGUUUGUCUAACUGAACAAAACAAAAUCCUUUCAAUGAUGGCAAUUUUUUCUCCUUUGAAAGCAAAUUUGAUUCAUUAUAUCUAAUCUUGGCAAAAAUGCUAAGUUAGAGGGGGUACCUUUUGGGGAAGAAACCACCUUGUGUCUAUGAAGUGCAGAUGAUUUUCUCAUCACCUCUUGAUCCAGCUCUACAGGAAGUUUAGAAGUGGGGCUCUUGGAAUGUUGAGCACACCUAUGCCCAGGAAAUUGACUUUGAAAGGCAGCAUUUGUUAGGAUGAAUAAGUAGUGACUUCAGGGGCCUUGUUAUCAUUAUUUGUGUGUCAUUCUGAAUAUAAAUCCUCCCCAAAUAUCAUAUUCCAUGAUGAGGGAUCUCCUUUUCUAAUUGUUGUGAAUAGUGCCCUCAUCAGAGUACCAAAUCCAUCCCUUUUUAAACUGUUUUGCUCCAUUCUUCAGCAGCAGCUUUCUAGUGGAGCAUCUGGCACAGGCCUAGCCAGGGUCAGGUGCCCAGCCUAUAAGCAUUCUCUCUUAGUCUGCAAGAGCUUCUUAAAGAACCCCUGUCCCAAUGUAUAGCUGUGAAGCAGGUGACCAUAUGGUGUGUACCAUCUAGGAAAAGUGAUAUGUUAUUAGAUAAAUGCUGCUGGAAAGAUUUGCAGUCUUCUCUUUUUGAUUAUUAAUUACACACACACACACACAUAUCCAUCCCUAAAGUUAAUGCUUUUAGUUUUCUAUUUUCGGAAAAGUGUUUUUAAGUAGGAAAAGCUUGUGGUAGGGACCAAUAAAUAAAUUACACUUUUCUUUAUUAAAUUUGAAGUAAACUAAAAGAGCUGAAGCAAGAGGUAUCUUAUUAAAGAAACCAAAUCUGAUGGUGAAAAAUCAGAAGAAAUAUCAUUUAAGUCAGUAAAGAAAGUCAGAGGGUUAUGAGCAAUACAAGAUGCGAUUUGGGGAGCUUUCUGGAAGAAAACUGUUCUUAGGUUUUUUUCCUACUAAAUGACCGUGUACUGUAGAAGUUAGUUCCAUGAUGGUACAUUUCUGAAUCCCUUGCUUCUGAUUUUAGUUGGGAAUGCCUGACUUCCAUGCUCUUUGUGAUCUGGUGGAGUCUGU